GAUUAGACUGAUUUAUGGAGAAUGGUUUAUGUAGCAAAAUGGUGCUUCCCACUUCGACUAGCUCUGUGAAGCAAUGGUUGAAGAAAUCUUGUAUUCCUUAUGUCCCAUAGGGCAGGAGGUUAUUAGAGCAAUAUUGGGUAGGACAGCCUAUUGUGAAUUUGUACUAGUGAUUUUGGGGAGAAUGUGGUCGAUUCAUCAGGACAUGGGUUGAAUUCGAAUCCGGGUUUGGAGGUCCAGAGCAAUGGGAAUCCAGAGAGCUAUAUGGGUUUGCAAAGUGGUGAUUCGAGCUGUUGGAAUGGGAGCAAUGGGUGGCCUGACCUUGCCAUUUACACCCCACGUUCAGGUUUUCAGUAGAUAAUUAGAUAAUGCUUUUCAUAUAUAUUAGUCUAUGAUAUAAUGUUUCACACUGGAAACUAUGAUUGCGUAGAGAAAUGGAGCAUGAAUGACUCUUUAGGCUUAAUGCUAAGCAGCUUUAAGCUUUUAAUUUUAGAAUUUUCUGAGGUUAUAGAGAGGGUGAGAAACACCAAAGUCCACAGAGCCAUACCAAAGUGUUCCAUAUGUAAUGGCUUGUUUUGUUCUCUUUUGUGUGGUUUUUGGUUGUAUAUGAUGUAACUUAAAUAUGAAUGACCUUUUCUUCUUCUCUUUUACCUUUUGAGGUCCCCCUUUUAUUGAGGGAUAUGACAUCCGAGCAGCCAAAGUUGUAUCAUGGCUUGAUGGUAUUGGAUUGCAGAGUGAGAAACAAUGAAGAUCCUUGCUGCAUUUCACCUUAUGGAACCAACCUGAUGAACUUGCCAUUGUCCAAGGCAUGUAGCAGUUGAAUUUUGGGGCCUCGAAUUUUUUCUCGCCUUGAGCCUCCAAACUCACAGGGCCGGCCCUGAGUGGUUCCUGAUCGCUGGCCACCCUACUUGCACUUGCAGAGAAGAGAAUUGUACGGAAAAGAAAAAACAAAAACUUGCAAUAAAUUAUAUCAAUCAGAUCCUGGCCCUCUGUAAAUCGUCAAGGCCUGUAUGAGACCUUGAAUUAAGAUCGAUGGAAAUUAUACCUUUCGAUGAAGUUGUUGAUGAGAAAAUGCGUCAACGCAUCAGUUUUAAUGAGUAUUAGAUGAAAUCGAAUGACGAAAAUUAGUGAAGACCAAAUCCAUGCUUGUGUAGAGUCCAGAGCCGAAGACGUACAGCAAAAGAAAAAGAAAAAAUCAGACAACAAGUCUGCAUUCUGCAGCUAAGAGAUGCCUUCUCUCAUGAUAUGAUAUGUAUUGAUGGCUGACUGGGUAGGGUUGGUAUCAUUGGUUCUCAGCCGUUGGAUGCCUGAGAUUGCCAGAUUAGGUAAAAGAAAUAUGUAUGGCUCCAGUUGUUGGAAAACGCACUGGUUGAAAAAAUAUUUUACAGCUGAGUUUGUUACUAGAAGAGGUCAAAUCGAUGGCUAAGUUUGGCUUCUCGAUCUUCUCAACAGUCAGCUGCCUACAUCUUGGAUUUAUAACAAACUACGACCAGAAAAAAGAAAAAAAAGAAAGAACGCAAGUGAGUGAGACAUGAGGAUUGUGCUCCUUUCCAGCUUUACUUUUUCCUUUUUUAAAGACUAAAGUUAAAGAGAAGAGCAUGCAUGGAGCUUCUGAUGAUCGGCAAGCUGCCGUUCCAGAGGCUUGUGAGGGAGAUUGCUCAGGAUUUCAAGAUCACCAAUCUCCGGUUAAUUCCAGAGCAGCUUCAGGGAGGCAGCGGAGGAGCUAGAGAGGCUUCACUUGCUUCGUUUCUCCUAACUGUGAGUGAUGGAGCGGUACAGGUAGGCGGUCAUGUUCGAGCCACGUGGUUGCCAUGCUAUAUUUUUAAGUUUUGACCUCACGCUGCCGGUGUCCAUGCGCUGACGGACGGUUGGAUCAUAAUCAUAUAAUGCAAUUACGGAGGGCAGAGAUUUAGAAGACAAACCUUAAAGCAAUUUGUGUGGCAAUAUUGCUAUUAGGUUUGUUUUCUUUUCAAGAUAGUUAUGAAUGAUUGAUACCUGUUUUGGGAUGAUGGGGUUGGCUUCAAACUCUGCAUAUGUCAAUUAUGGUGUUCCAGUUUGGCCAAGGCACAUGACAAUCUUUUUUGGGUUUGGUUGUAGCUGGAAGACUGUUCUUGUAAUUGGAACUGUAUGCUUUAUUGUUUACUGCCCAUUUGCAUUGA